GCACGCGCCGAAGCCUCCCUCCCUCUCGCUCUACCUGAUCCAGAUCGAUGAAGCCGCCUCUCGCACCGUGUCGGAAGGUCCCUCCGCCGCCACCCCCUCUCCUAGACCCGGCCAUCCUCCCUUCCGCCACCUGCUCCUAUUCUAGUCGCCCCCUUCGUCCUCCCACAACACAUCGAGCAGGGUCCCCAAACCUCACCGGCGAUAGAUGCACCGCCGCCUAGCAGCGACGGCGUUGCGGCCUGCUGGCUCGCCAGCUUGCUUGUGCUUCAAUGCUCGCCCUCCUUCGAGCUGGCCAGACCACGGCGGCGUGUUAUCUAGGGUUUGCGGUGACUUUGCCCCACGCCAUCCACGCGCGAACCUCUCCAUCCGCUAGGGUUUGGGCUGCCGCGUCGCCGGUGUGCCUCUGUCAUUGUUCCGGUGACCCAGGUGAGUCCCUCCCCUCUUCCUCGUCACAUUCAUCCCACUUUUCCUCACCACGUCCCCUCUCCCUCUCAGAUCUGUCGUCGCUCGAGCUCCAGGAUGCCAUGGACUGGAUGGCCACUUCCUCCCCUGCUCCGACGCCAUAGAGGACGCCUCCUCGCUGCCACGUCUACUUGCUGCCGCGUCUCUCUGUGGUGGUCUAUUGGUUGUGAUCUCAAUUCGCCCGAAUGGAUUGGCCGACGUUGGUGUGCACUGGGCAGCUCAAGGACACGCUUUAAUUCCAGCAAUAGGGGGAUUGCCAUAUUGGACAAAGGAAGAGGAUGAGAAGAAAUGAGGCUUGGGCGUGAGUGGGUGCUGGGUGGCGGCGGCCUUCCACUACCUGCCCCAUGGCACCUCACUCUACCGCGGUGGCAACGGAAUGCUCAUCACCUCGUAGGGAAUAUUUGAACCAAGUGACCGCAAGGAUUGUUUGACAAUGUGUAGGUCAAUCUCACCCUUGUGGAGAAAUACUAUUUUUUCUCCAGAUUUAGCCUACACUGUCCAGGUUGUAUGCUUCUACUGAGAUCCCAUCAAGGAUGGUCUGAAGCACUGAGAACAAGCGGACGGUAGGAGGGCACUAGAAGCUUUGUUUCUCAUUGAUGUUAUGUGUGAUCAACUAAAACUUGUGAUUCUCAUCCAAUCUUUGUAGAACUAUGUUGUUGUGCGCUUGUGCACUUGUUGGUUCCUUUUGUUGUGCACUUGCACUGGUAGAACUACUUUUCUUUGCACUUUUAGAAUUAUUUUGAUGUGCACUUGUUGGGCCUUGAACCUUGGAUGUGUAGAGGAGUCGAUGGAUGAUGUAUUUUAUUUCAUGUGAUUUGCUACU